GUAAUGAUUGUUUAUGCGUAUCUCUAAUAAAACAAUGCCAAAAUAGACAUGCUUGAUCAAAUACUUUUUACAGCCCAAAAUUUGACCCCCACUAUGCAAAAACUUGAUUUUUCUUCUUACUCAACUUGAUCUCCAAAAAUGCUCUUCAGACUCACUAGUUAGUUGGUCUUCACGGUGUUCAAGUUUGUACUUCAACCAAGCCAUAUUCCUUGAAUAAUUGUAGAAAUCACAUCUAUAAAAAGUAACACAUGAACCAAGAAACUAUUAAUGUGUAAUGAGAUAGGAUGGAGCAAGCAAAAGAAAAACAAGGGACAACAUCUAAUGACUCACUCUGGGUUAUAUAUUUUGUUGAUGAGAUAGAUAUGCUAAAGAGAUAAGAAUGCAAAAAAUAUAUAACAACAGUUCACGUUAAUCAUAAUAAUAGACAUAUAUUUACUACGUCUCUAAUCAAGAGAUAGUAUUAUUACCAUCAUUUAUUUGUUGUGUUUCAUAUCAAUAUCCAGGUUUUGAUAAAACUUUAAUAUGGGAGAAAAAUUAGAGCAAAUACAACCAUUCAUUUGAUGCAUUUCAUAUCAACAUCCAGGUAAUAAUAAUAAGAGUGACCUUUGGCCAAUGUUCAUGUAAAAAGAAGGGAACAUAUGUUUUCACAAUGCUUUCUGCCAACUUAUUACCUGCAAAACAAAAGAAGGGAACAUAUGAAAGAAUUUGUCUUAGCAAUCAUGGAUGUAGAGUUUGAGAGUUGGGGGAGCAGUCACAAAGGUCUACUUGAACUCUCAGACUAAGCUGUUUUGUUAUUGCUGCUAUGACCAUACAAAUUGAAAGGUCUAUAAUCUAUCUUAAAUAUAAUAUAUUAUAAUGUAUAUGUAUAGUUAACAUGUAAUAACAAAAUAGUAGGGUUGAAAUUGAAAAAGGUAAUCUAUCUUAAAUAUAAUAUAAUGUAUAUGUGUAUGUAUCUAAGAAUGAUUGAUGAGAAUAAUAACAAAGAUUUGUUUCAUAGACAAAUUGGCUAGUGACAUAAGUAUAUGUUCUAUGACUAAGGUGUAACACCGCGAAUUUUACGAUUUUGAACUAUAAGAUUUUAUUAAUAUUUUUAUUAAUUAUAUAUUCGAAAAUGAAUUUCUGGGAAUUUUCAGUAAAGAAUUAGACGAAACUCUAGUUGAGUUUUAGUCUUGUAAUUUUAUUUCCUAUUUUGUGGUAAAUCUUGGUAAUUUUCGGAGACAGUCAGUUCUAGACCACUGUCGGGGCCGAAAUCCACCCGGUACGGCUCAAAAAGUGGUUUUUGAGUUCCGUAACUCGGAAUCCAAUUCCAAUCGCACCGUUGGCUUCGUAAUUUCAUUUCGAGUCAAGAUAGACCCUGAGAUGGUCCAUACCUAUUUUCUAAAUAUUUUUCACUCGGAAUGCCGAAAUCCGAAAUUCUAAUCGGAUAUUACGAUCGGGCGAUUUAUAAUAUCUGAUCGAGUAUUAGCCGAUAAUACUCGAGCAUGUUUAUCACACAUGUCNNNNNNNNNNNNNNNNNNNNNNNNNNNNNNNNNNNNNNNNNNNNNNNNNNNNNNNNNNNNNNNNNNNNNNNNNNNNNNNNNNNNNNNNNNNNNNNNNNNNUGAACUGUUUUUCAUAUCUGAGUGUAAUAUUCUGAGUAAGUCCACGCCGUCAAUGAAUUUAUGUUCAUUAGAUGUCUUACUCUCUCUAUUUCUCUUCUUUUCUAUUGCUUGCUUUUCGGAUGUGUGUUCGUCAGAUAGACAGCUUUACUCGGAUUUGGAGCUACCCGUCCGUGAUGUUCCAGGAGGGGGCAUGAGGAAUUGAGGAGAGGCAGUACCCUAGUCUUGGAGCGAGCCACUAGGAGUUGCUUAUCAUUUUGGGACUUUUGAAAACAAGGACGGCUUCAGUUUGUUCAUGUCUUUGUUUAGUGUCUGUUGGCGAUGAUUAAUAUUUUUCGCCCUUUCUUUCUGGAUUUUGUAUAUGUUAGUGGCGAUGUAGUUUCCGCCUUUGUUGACUUAGUUUGUAUGAACUAAAGAUGACUUAACCGUUUAUAUGCAUUAUGUUAUUCAGGAAAUUGUGAAUCAGGUUAAGUUAUCAUUCGAUAUCGAUAAGUUGAUUUUCCGCAUUCGAGUUACUUAAAGUGAUGUCCCGGAAAAGGAAGGUUUUAAAAAAAAAGGAAAUAAAUUUUAUACAUCUCUUUAUUCAAAAAAAAAUUACCCAUUUUUCCGCAAUGUUUUUGAGAAGUAUUUUUCGGGGCGUUACAACUAAGGCGUAACUGAAGCUUAGAGAUAACAUUAAAUAUUUAUGUUCUAAAGUCUAGAUAUGAAAUUAGUUGUGUGUUAAUUUUAACAAAGUUGUGUGAAGCAUCCAAGCAAAGCUUACUGCUAUAUAUCAUGUUAAUAAUACAAUAAGUUCACAACAAGUGUCAAGUGAUAGUAAUGAAAGUAGAAAUAUCAAAGGAAUACAAAGGCUUACAAUUAUAAUUGUUAUACUAAGUAGCAUUACUUCUCUGUUACAUGGACAAUCCAUAACUCACCAUGAUCAUAAAAAUUGUAGCUUUGCAGGCUUUUUUAGCCAUGGUACAGAAAGCAAACAAAUCUAUAUAGGUUACUUUAACAUCAUUAUAUUAGUACUAAAAUGAUUUUGUGAAGUAAUAAUUAACUAAUGAAAAGGAACAUACAUUACAAGUAUAAAAUGAGAAGAAUAGACUACCCACCUUGGCACAUAAGUUUCUAGCAUGGUCCCUAACAAUCUCAAACUUACAAAACUUAGAGCUUAACUUAGAGUUGUAUAAAACAUAGUGUUGCACCCUUCUAUGUGCAAUCCCCCAUUUAUGUUCUUGUGAGUAAAGAGAUAGUGAUUCAUCUCUAUUUCCUUUUCAACUUUCACAUUAUUAUUACCACCUACUUCUAUGUCUUUUAACCUUUUUUUCCCUCUCAAACUAACUGCACAUACAAACAUAAAUACAUGAUUAAUAUAAUAAUGAUAAGAAGAAGAUAGAAUUGUUAUACAUAUAUAUGUAUACCCGUAGUCUCAUUAAUACAUUAUUUUUGACUCUCAAUACUUUCUCCCUUUCUUCACAAUUUACUAUGUAAAGACCAUUUUUUAACACAGUCCAAACAAAAAAAUUUAUCUUGAAAUCCCUUUUGGGCAAGCAUUACUCAAGUAAACAAAUUCAGUCUAGAAUCCAUUGAAUUAUAAUGGAUUACACUGCUUAUAAUCACAAUCUAACCAAACACUAAUAUAGUUAGUUAUAGAAUGCAAUGAAAAUUGAAAUGUAUAUAUACCUUCAAAGAGGCUUUUGCACUGCCAUGUUACAAAUAUAAGGGCUAUCCUUGGGAGGAGUAAGUGAUGGUAAUGAAGCAUUAGCACCACUUUUGUCAAAUCAAACUUCCACAUUCUCUGAUGAAAGCGAGAUAGAGCUUGUUGGAACGGCGAAGUUAGAGAGAUCAGAGGUGAGAGCAAGAUUAUCUUUAUGGAAGCCAUGUACGAGCUCCACUUCGCUGUUCCCUUCACCGGCGAUAUCCUCAACAACAUCAACACACUGUCUCCGUCAUCCUCCACCAUGACGAGUCCAAGCUCAUCUUCAUCGACGUCGCCUCAUAUGAUAUGAACCUCGACGCUAUUUCACUAUUCCCCUCACUGCAACAUCAACGCCCAAUCCUCAUCCUCAUUGAGGAUAACACAGUUCAAUCGCUAACCGCAACCACCAACGUUGAAUUUCAAAUCGGUGAAGCCUGCGUCGGAGAAGAAGAAUGUUAUAACCGCGUUAAGGAAUUUAGGAUUUUAUUUUACCGCUUCAGAUCUCGCCAUGGAAGAACAAUUUCUCAAACAAAUUCAGUCUUCAAUAUUGAUGGUGGCGCUAAUGGCUGCAAUGGGAGAAGAAGGUUCACCUUAAGAAGAUUAGGGUUUAUGUUUGAAUGAAAAGGAUAAGGUCAGUACAAGAAGACUAUAUGUUAAGAGUAGAAAAAUAAAAUUAAAAAUAAG
rnacentral:lncRNA from 1 species